GAGAAAGCGUCCCCUCUUCUCCAGGGAACUCUACAGACUGUCUUCAGCGUUCCAAAGACAACCCCCUCUAUAUCUUACUAAACUUCAAUCAGACAGUUGCCAGAAGUAUUGACUGCCAACAUACUUGAAAAAGUUGUCCUUCGGGAAGGUGACCGUGCUAUAUGCACGUUGGCUCUUGUGUGCUCCAGAAUCGGAGACCUUGGUUCUCCAGACUCCUUCAGAAGACGGGCACAUUUUAAAUGGCUUAACAGUGUCUGGACAUGGAGCAGGUUCUGUGCAGAAUUCAGGAGAGAGUAUUACAACAUGUACACCAUUGAGAUCUGCCAUGGG